GACGAACGCUGGCGGCGUGCCUAACACAUGCAAGUCGAACGGGAUCGGGGGCAACUCCGGUUCAGUGGCGGACGGGUGCGUAACACGUGAGGAACAUGACUUUCGGCGGGGGAGUAGCCGGCCCGAACCGGCCGGGUAACGUACCGCCGUACGACCCACCUGGAGACCUCUCCGUUGGGUGGAAAGACAGCAAUGCACCGAAAGAAGUGCCUCCGCGGCCUAUCAGCUAGUUGGUGGGGUAAGUGGCUCACCAAGGCGACGACGGGUAGCUGGUCUGAGAGGAUGGCCAGCCACAUUGGGACGUGAGACA
rnacentral:rRNA from 1 species